CGGGGCUGUGGGCGGUGCGGGUCUCGCUCUGCAGCUGUGGGAACGCGCAGCCCUCAGCGGGGCUGGAGCGCUCCUCACGGGUCCCAGACAGAGCGGGGACACGGGCGCUUCCCACCGCGGGCGGCUGCGCCUGUGCUCCCAGCGAUGUCCCGCACAUUCCAAGGAGCUUCACAAGUCAAACCUCUUGCUGGUUUGGAGCUUUGGAGCCAGCCCUGCCGGACCCCGCCCGGAGGGGCUGCACGCAGGUGAUGACAGCGGAGACUCCCGCUCAGCACGGGUCACACUGCACGCAAAAAGUUGUCGCCUCCAAAGUACGAGCAGAGUUACAGGGAUUCUAUGAAUCUGUGAUUCUGAAGAGGGACCCGCUGUGCAAGGAACACACCUCCUGCAAGAAAAGAUAAGGAAGCCCGGAACCCACACUGCCACACCAGGAGAAAAAGGAUUGUUUUUCUCAAAGCUUGGGUUGCACCCCCCUUACUUCGAGCCUUCAUCUUUGGAACCCAAGGAUGGGAUCCUCAGACCACUCAACGGACCACUCAACUCAAGGGUGUGAAGGUAUGUUUAUGACCCUUCAAAAACAAAUGAAUUUGUAAUACCUUUUCGGGUGAUGCAAUGCAUAUGCGUAGAUCUAUACUAUAAAAGACGCACAGUUUUCUCGCUUGGCAUGCAUGUUUUUGGAGGAUUAAUUCCCCCAUGCAUCCAGCACUGCUCGUAAAGGGUACCUGCUUAAUAAUGACUGUCUAGUUGUUAUUGAGUUAUUAUUUCAAAAUCCUUGCCCAGCCACACCCAGCCUCCCACUUCGGUGAGGAGUGUUAGAAAGUGCGGGGGCUUGGAAGCGCCGUCCUUUGAAUCAUUUAGUAUAGUUACAAUAAUGCCAACACAAAACGCUAUCAGAGGGAAAUUCUGCUUAACUUUCAAAAAACCCACAAUUACUUGGACAAAACUUUACUUUAGCUUAAAUCAAAAAUAUUCUGCUUUUGGUAAUAGUAACUGCUGUCUGUACCAAUGCGGCCCACGGGCCUGUGAGAAGGGACAGCAGCGAAGGGUCAGGGCACCAAGGUGUUGGUGUUGUGGGCUCCUUUCCAGGCACCAGGAGUAACAAAUGGUUAUCGAUGUGAAGUGGGAAUGGUGCAUUGGGCUGAAAAAGUGCAAAUUCAGCCUGUCAGGUUUCCCAUCUGGACACUGCAGGCUUUGCACGUCUGUUACUAAACAGAAUAAUUAAAUCAAUGAAUAGUUUGUGUUGGAAAGAACCUCGAAUAUCAUGCAGUCCUAACCACAGGCAGUGACAUCUACCACUGGAUCAGGCCCCAUCCAACUUGGCCUUGAACACCUCCAGGGAUGGGGCAGGCACAGCUUCCCUGGGCAAACAGUGCCAGUGUCUCACCACCCCUGCAGUAAAAAAAUUCUUCCUGAUAUCUAAUGUAAAUCUCCCCUCUUUCAGUUUAAAGCCAUUACCUCUCAUCCUAUCACUGCACUCCCUGAUAAAGAGCAUCUCCCCAGAUUUCCUUUAGUCCCCUUCAGGUAUCAGAAGGAUGCUGUCAGAUCUCCCCAGAGCCUUUUCUUCUCCAGGCUGAACGACCCUAGCUCCCUCAGCCUGUCCUCGUAUGGGAGGUGCUCUGGCCCUCUGAUCAUCUUUUUGGCCUCCCCUGGACUCACAGUAGCAGAUCCAUGUCCUUCCUGUGCUAAGGACUCCAGAAAUAGGUACAGUACUUCAGGUGGGGAUUCACAAGGAAAAGCCUCUGUUUUCAACAAGUGUUAGAAAUGCCUGGUGUGUGUCAGAUAAAUUGGGUCCUGCCGUUUCCAUCCAGAGUUAUAAAUGUGAUUUUGUACUCAGCUGUUUCCUUGGCCUUCAUGCCGCACAGCAAGCAAACAGCACGUCUGUCUGUCCUUCAUCAGUAUCCCUACACCGUGGUGCGUCCCCCGCCUCCCCCAAAGCCUCCCCCAGACGCAUUACAUCAAUGUCAGCACAAGCCAAACACCUGCAAGACAGCGAUGGUACGAGCGUCCUCUCCCAGGACAGUAACGAUCUGUUUUAGCCCGGAUACAUCAGAACCAGCUUGGUGUGUAGCUGUGCAGUUGACCUGGGCAGAUCUCGGGGGCAUGGAGCAAUCCUGGAGGGACUCAGCUGUUGCUGAAGCUGGAGCCACAGCCCAGGUGUCUGUCACAGCCUACGCACUGUCUGUGUACUUCCCUGAGUGCAGAUAAGAAGCCUGUGUUGAAAUAAAGCAAGAAAAUGGUCAACAAAACGUUUGUGUGGCAAUUCAAAAGCUUUCUUACGCUUCAAAGAGCAAAAAAAUAGGUUUCCUGUUGUAUACUUACCAGCUUUAAUUAAUGUGCUCAUAAUGCAGGUAGAAUAAAGGAAUAUACAUGGAGAAAGAUGGCUAGGAAAACUAAAAAUGAGUAAAAAAUGCACUUCUGUGUUCUGCAAGGGAUAAUUUCUGAGUUUCACUUCUUUCUGGGGCGAUACAGAUGAUCUCUUUUGCUUAGCUGAGUUGCAUAUUAGAAUUACUACAGAUGCCAAAAAAAAAAACCCUGAGAGGUUUUCUAUUUUUCUGUUUUAAAGUGUGAGUUAUUUUUAAAGUGCCAGUUGCAGCUACCUCGAGUACUUCUGCCCCAUAGUCUGAGGAGCUGUGAAAUACUGCUAUGCAGAAAACAAGCGUUACCCCAAACUAGGCAACACCCUCACGGGACUGGACAAAACAGGUGAGCAAAAGUCGCUUCCCCACACUCAGAAACCACCCCCAAAUCCUCUUACCUGUCAUGGGAAAGACAGUGACAACACAAUCCUGCUGCUGAACUGCUUUGUCACCUUGGACUUGGGGACUCUGUAGUCCACCUCUGUACUUUAAAAGGUUAUCUUCCAUGAUUGUGAAAGAUAAGACACAGCAGAUACUGUAGACAGAUGGAGAAGGUGAAGAGAAACAGAGAUGGAAAUGAAGAGUAAACAUAUUAUUUCCAGGUACAUAAGUUCUGUUCAACUCCCUUUAAAACCCUUCUUAUAUACCCGGCCGUGUCAGAGAAUCUGGAGGAACAUGUGGGGCCAGGCCUUUGUCUCUGCUCUCUAUCACAACAUUACAAGUGCACAGAUCCCUCCCUGCAGAGCUCCUGCAGGGAAACGACUGGGAAAAUGUGCAAUCCAGCCAUGAUCACACAUUGAAUUAGUACAAACAGUAGGGAAGCUAAGUUAGACAGAAACUGGAUGUAAAGUGGGUUUGUUCCUUUUACUAACAGUUAGAUUUUUUUUCCCUCUUAUCUCACAGACUUUGGGCCUGAAUCCUCUUUCUUGCUUUUUGUCACCUUUCUCGAUUGAAAUUGCUUUCAGACUAAGUGCACAGCGUUCUCCAUUCACUCGUGAUGAAUUAGUAGCAAAAAGCCUUCCACCCCACAAGUCUGUGUGAGAGCUUGUUGAAAUCGAUUACUCUGUUCAGUUAUGUAAUAGACAGUUUAUAUAAUGUGUUAAAUAAUUUCUAUUUUUUAAAGUUGUUGACAGAUUUUGAAGGUCAGGCUUACUCAUUAGGUGAUUUUCCAUCCUAGCAGGUAGCUCAGGGAUGUUAGGUUGUUCUUGGCCACUUCAGCACAACCCAUGAUGUAUCAAUAGCUGCAGGACUAUCUCACAUAAAGGGACUGCGUGAGCUCACAGCAUAAAGACAGAGAGCGAAGACGACAAAUAUCAGCAGGUGUCAUUGUGCAGUGUAAACCUCCCCUAACCGAAGCCAGAGAGAGGACAUAAACUGAAAAAAAAGGUCUGCCAUGUCCCAAAAGGUGGCUGAGAGAAGUGGGAGGAAGAACCAUCUACCACACGUUUUCUGAGAGAUGUGUUCACCUCAUAAGCAGGGUUCACGCCGAAGACGAAAAUUGUCCCCACAGUGCUGGGUACAGACAAUCCCAGAGUCCAGACAUACUGGAAUACUCCUCUGAGAAAGCAGGCGGGCUCUCAGCUGCGCUUGUUUCUGGGAACCUGUGUGCCUGUUCAACAAUGCCAGUGCAGAGGCCCUUACUGGCACCCCCGUCUGACCCAUCACCAAGGCAGCAUCCGCUACAGCUUUGUGCUUCCACAGGGCUCAAGCAGUACAACAUUGUUUCUCAUGUGGAAGCAAUCUUGCUACAAAACGUUUUCAGUGUUAUGUGUAUGGAAACAAGAACCCCUCAGUUCCCUGAACACACCAACGCUUGUGGAAUCAUAAAAACCUCUAGGAAACUGGAGAAGAAUGCAAACUGCAUUGUACGCCUGGUUAUCGACUGAUGGAUGUUACCAAGGCCAAACACAGAAACUUGACUACAGCUUACCCUGUCUUGCAAGAAUACACAGCACUGCGCAUUUUGAUAGAAUUACAUUUUCCUGGUGGAAGAAGUGUUUAAAAUUCAGGUAGGAAGUCAACAGAUUUAAAAGCACCUUUGAAACUUUGUUUUGGUGGACACGUGAGGAACUACCACAAGUGUGAUUCAACAGUUUUUCUGGAAGAUGAGAUAAAUGCCCAAAUGGGCCCCGGCAGAACAUAAUGCUACUGCUACAGUGCCCACGUUCUCCUCCUUGGGCAAACGCUGUAGUUCAGCUUCAUGAGGAAUAAAAGACUACAGGUUUCUAUGAAGAAGACUCAGAAGUUCCAAUGUCAUCACCCCACUGUAAUUAGUACCAUAUGCCAGCUGCAUUUCAUAGCCCUCUUUUUUGUUGUCUACUAAGGUAUGUCACUAAGCAAGCUUAAAGUAUCACAAUAAAGCAAAUACAUUUUCCAAUGUUUUACUGAAACUGAAAAAGUAAUUCUGUACCAAAAUGUACACAGUUUAGUAAUAACACAAAAUGUUAAUUCUGCAAGACAGAAUGUCAGUUAAAUCCACCAAAAUGAACACUGAACCACCAUUUAUUGAUAGAACAAUGUUACUUUAAAUAAGAUCACCGAAUGAACAUAGAAACAAAGUAGUUCUAACCUUCCUUAAAUAAAAUGGUAGCAAUUAGCAACAAUACUGCAGGAAGAUAAACAUUCAUGAUAUUUACAUGCUAUCAUAACAUAUCUAGCAUGUAGAAUGACUUCAUGCUUGCACAUUAGCUUUACGAGCUCAGUACGAUUAUAUUAAUGUGUUGAUGUACUACGAAACAACCCAUCGUGAUUUAUAUCAAAUUUGCACAUUAUAGAAGAGCACCUCUGCUAGUAUCCCCUUAGGAACGCUACUGCGUUCCUGCAAAAAACCCAGUCCAGUCCACCGAUUCUUCCCCCAAAAAACACAAACAAAAAAAAAAAACAACCCCAAACCAAACGAACUCAUCAUCAAGCACAUAAAUCAUUUUCAUCCUGUGAUUAACCAGGCAGGGCAAUGUAUUUAGCAAUAUUCCCAAAGGUGAAUCAAACCAGAACACACCUGCGGUUUCUGCAUUACAUUAAGAACACCUGAGACUGCUUCACUGGUCCAAGUACAGUAUUUUAAUACAAAAUCUGCUUGUUGUAUUAACAUGUUAUUUCACUGAAUUCUCUUAACUUACUACUUUUCACUGGAAAAAAAAAAAAAGCAUAAUUUUUUUUCUCAAAAUAAAUACUCCCCCCUCAAAAAGAAAGUUUGAAAGGAACUAAACCAUAAAAAACUACUGCUAAAGAACAGUGUGAUUUUCUGGCUUCAUUUCAUCUCAGCUUUAGAACUGGAUACACACAUAUUCCUGGAGAAUAGGUGUCAAACACUUAAAAUAUUAGGAAUAUACAAACACACUGUACCUUAAGAAACAUCUUUUAAAAGAAGUGUAAACAUGUGUUCUUGACUCCUGUUGUUUGAAUGCACUCCCAUCAAAAGAAGUUCGAGAAACUGCAUUUGCUUAAAUCACUAACCUGUCUGACCCAGAACUGGGUUUGGAGUUACCAGUUUCAAAAUCUCUUUUUGAUACCUGAACAAAUAACAAGAGUUGAAGACACUGGUUCUCCCUAGUUUAGUACAGAUUAUAUUUAACAGUUCUGAACUUUACAGGCCACAUGUUUUCCAUAAAGGAAUAACCAAAAUUGUAGAGUUAACAUAUUGAAUGCUGCCUAACUGAAG